rnacentral:rRNA from 1 species
GAGUUUGAUCCUGGCUCAGGAUGAACGCUAGCGGCAGGCUUAACACAUGCAAGUCGAGGGGUAGAACACUUCGGUGUUUGAGACCGGCGCACGGGUGCGUAACGCGUAUGCAAUCUGCCUUUUACAGAGGGAUAGCCCAGAGAAAUUUGGAUUAAUACCUCAUAGUAUUAUUGAAUGGCAUCAUUUAAUAAUUAAAGUUCCAACGGUAAAAGAUGAGCAUGCGUCCCAUUAGCUAGAUGGUAAGGUAACGGCUUACCAUGGCGACGAUGGGUAGGGGUCCUGAGAGGGAGAUCCCCCACACUGGUACUGAGACACGGACCAGACUCCUACGGGAGGCAGCAGUGAGGAAUAUUGGUCAAUGGGCGCAAGCCUGAACCAGCCAUGCCGCGUGCAGGAUGAAGGUCCUAUGGAUUGUAAACUGCUUUUGUACAGGAAGAAACACUGGAACGUGUUCCAGCUUGACGGUACUGUAAG